CAAUAGAGUGUAGCAAACACGACUAUGCUUGCUGCCUCUUUUGCCGAAGUGGCCCAAUGUCCCUGGUGCUCCGCAUUGAUCGCUCAGGUUUUGUUCCCGGGGAAAAUAUUAUCGUUAAUGCUGAGUGUUCCAACAUGACCAAUGUCAAGAUUAACUACACAAAAGCAGUUGUGCAUCAGACCAUAACAUACUAUGCUGAAGGGAGAAAGAAGAAGGACCAUCGGAAGGUUGCUGAACUCAAGCGCUUGGAAAUUCCCCCUGGAGAAGAUGAUAACUGGAACAACGUUGAGAUGUUGAUUCCAGCACUGCCUACCUCUCACCUACAAUUCUGCAACCUGAUUGACAUUGAUUACGAACUCAAGUUUGAAAUGUCCCCAUCCGGUUGCCACAUGGACCUAGAACACACAGCUCCUGUAAAGAUUGGCUCCAUACCUCUAGUGCAAUACUUCAGCAACUUUGUCCAAGGACCACCCACAAACUCAGCCCAACACAUGAAUCUGGCUUCAGUUCAGCCUCCAGUGCCUGCUUAUUUCCCUCCUGGUCAGCCCCCAUUACCAAAUUAUUCUCCAGCACCAGAACAGCACCCAGGGCUUGGCUUUGCUGCUAUACCAGGUCAACAGCCAGUGCCAGGUCAGCCUCCAGUGAUGAAUCCUCCUGUAGUACCAUAUCAGCCUCCAGUUCCAGGUCAACAACCAUUAAUAGGUCAAGCACCUGUGCCUGGUCAGCCACCAGUACCAGGUGAACCACAAAUGCCAGGUCAGCCUCCAGUGCCUGGAUAUGGUACUGGGCCAGGUCAGUCUUCAGUGUUGGGCUUUGCUCCAUCCAUACCAGGUCAGCAAGCAGUCCAGAUGCCCUCCAACAAUCCAGCCCAGCCUAGCAUAGCAGUGUCCAGUGUCGAUCAAAACACUUCGCCAUACAACCCCAACUUCCAAUCAGCAUCUUACCCCAUACCAGGGUCACCAAGAUUUCCAGGAGUCGUACAUUAUCCUCAAAUGCCCUUACCAACAUACAACCAGUGUAUGUUUGGAACGACCAGCAUUGCGGAGAUUGAUAGUGAUGUUGAUGAAGGCCAGAAUCAUAACGAAGUGGGAUUUGCACCUCAUUAUAUAUCCUAUAACCUUGUAAACUCCAAGAGGCUCCAGUCAGCUGCCUCUGUGGGCGAUACCGUAGGGGUCAUGGAUGGCAUAACCAGCGGAGUGAGUGACCUGCAUAUUCGCCAUGACAGUGGGAGCAGUGGUUCUAGUGGAGACCAUUAUCGUGGAGGGUACCAGGCACAUAACUGACUUCAGAAGAACCGAUAAGGGAAUAGCAUUCCUUUCUUUGGCAGUAUAUAAAGAGCAGCUGCUCACGACCACAGCAUGAGUCAUCAUCUGCAUGAUAGCUUAGGGGAUGCACCGCUCAUUGUCCACCAUCAUGAGCAUCACUCUAACUCUGACUCAGACAGCGAGAGACCAGCAGAGGCAGCGCAGACUAAAGAUACCGGCUUCAACACCAAGGACACUGAGACCAACGCCAAUGACAG
rnacentral:misc_RNA from 1 species